CACUUUAGAAGUUAUUGCCCUUUAUAGUCAAUUUUUAACCAUUUUUCGUAAAUCUUAGUAAUCUUUUAGAAAAAUCUUCUCCUCUGAAACUACUGGGCCAAAUUUAACCAAACUUAGCCAUAAUCAUCAUUGGGGUAUCUAGUUAAAAAAAUGUGUCCGGUAACUCGGCCACAAACCAAGAUGGCCGCCAUGGCUAAAAAUAGAACAUGGGGGUAAAAUGCAGUUUUUGGCUUAUAACUCAAAAACCAAAGCAUUAAGAGCAAAUCUGACAGGAAGUAAAAUUGUUGAUCAGGUCACGAUCUAUCUGCCCUAGAAUUUUCAGAUGAAUCGGAUAAUCGGUUGUUAGGUUGCUGCCCCUGAAUUGGUAAUUUUGAGGAAAUUUUGCUGUUUUUUUGUUAUUAUCUUGAAUAUUAUUAUAGAUAGAGAUAAACUGUAAACAGCAAUAAUGUACAGCAAAGUAAGAACUAAAAAUAAGUCAGU
rnacentral:lncRNA from 1 species